CACGCCGUAAACGAUGAUUACUAGGUGUGGGGGGACUGACCCCUUCCGUGCCGGAGUUAACACAAUAAGUAAUCCACCUGGGGAGUACGGCCGCAAGGUUGAAACUCAAAGGAAUUGACGGGGGCCCGCACAAGCAGUGGAUUAUGUGGUUUAAUUCGAAGCAACGCGAAGAACCUUACCAGGUCUUGACAUCGAGUGCAUAGCCUAGAGAUAGGUGAAGCCCUUCGGGGCACUCAGACAGGUGG
rnacentral:rRNA from 1 species